UACUGCUAUCGGUGUUCGACUAAGCCAUGCUAGUUAAAUGUUCUUCGUGAACAUAGCGGACUGCUCAGUAACACGUGGACAAUCUGCCCUUGGGUUCAGCAUAACCCCGGGAAACUGGGGAUAAUUCUGAAUAGAUCACAUAUGCUGGAAUGCUUUGUGAUUAAAAGAUCCGUCGCCCAAGGAUGGGUCUGCGGCCUAUCAGGUUGUAGUGGGUCUAGAGUACCUACUAGCCAACGACGGGUACGGGUUGUGAGAGCAAGAGCCCGGAGAUGGAUUCUGAGACAUUAAUCCAGGCCCUACGGGGCGCAGCAGGCGCGAAACCUUUACACUGCGGGAAACCGCGAUAAGGGGACACCGAGUGCCAGCAUACAAUGCUGGCUGUCCACAUGUGUAAAUAGCAUGUGAUAGCAAGGGCCGGGCAAGACCGGUGCCAGCCGCCGCGGUAACACCGGCGGCCCGAGUGGUAAUCACUAUUAUUGGGUCUAAAGGGUCCGUAGCCGGUUUAAUCAGUCUUCCGGGAAAUCUGACAGCUCAACUGUUAGGCUACCGGGGGAUACUGUUAG
rnacentral:rRNA from 1 species